GGGUGAGGUGGGGAUUCAACUUCAUUCUUUUGCAUGUUGGCUCUUCAAUUGGCCCAGCACUGUUUAUUGAAAAGACUGUUGGAUGGCCUUCGCACUCUUGUCAAAAAUCAAUUGGCCAUAGAUGCUUAGGUUGACUUCUAGACUCUCAGUUCUAUUCCAUCAGUCUAUAUGUUUGUCCUUAUGCCAGUAUCACACUGUUUUGAUUACUGUAGCUUUGUAGUAAGUUUUGAAAUUGGGAAGUGACUUUGGGGAGUACUGCCCUCUUAGCAAUAUUAAGUCUUCCAGUGUGUGAACAUAGGAUGUUUUCCCAUUUAAUGAUGUCUCUUAACAAUUUCUCUUAGCAAUGUUUUCUAGUUUCAUUGUCCAAGUCGUUCACCUUUUGGUUAAAUUUAUUCCUAGGUAUUUUAUUCUGUUAGAUGCUAUUGUAAACACAAUUGUUUCCUUAAUUUCCUUUUCAGAUUAUUUGUUGCUGGUGUAUAGAAACACAACUGAUUUCUAUGUGUUGUUGUUGUACCCUGCAACUUUGCUGAAUUUGUUAGCUCUAGCAGUUUGUUGUGGAUUCUUUGGUAUUUUUUAUAUAGAGAGAAUCAUCUGCAAAUACAGAUAGGUUUAUUCUUCUUUUCCAAUUUGGAUGCCUUUUCUUUCUCUUGACUAAUUGCUCUGUUCAGAACUUCCAGUACAGUAUUGAGUGGCAGUGUGAAAGUGAGCAUCCUUGCCUCGUUCCUGAUCUUAGGGGGGAAGUCUUUCACCAUGGAGCAUGAUAUUAGUUGUGGAUUUUCCCAUAAAUGCCCUUUAUCAUAUUAAGGAAAUUCCCUUCUAUCCUUAAUAUGCUGAUUGUUUUGAUCAUGAAAGAGUGAGCCCAUUUUUUCUAAAGUGAAAGUUUGGCUCAAAGUAAUAAAGUGCUGACCUGAAAGAACAAUGUGCCUGUAGAUUGUCUUUGAAGUCUCUGUGCCUCCAUUUUUUUUGAGACGGAGUCUCACUCUGUCACCCAGGUUGAAGUGCAAUGACGCAGUCUCACCUCAUUGCAACCUCCUCCUCCUGGGUUCAAGCGAGUCUCCUGCCUCAGCCUCCUGAGUAGUUGGGAUUACAAGCGCCCAGCACCCCUCCCGGCUGAUUUUC
rnacentral:lncRNA from 10 species